UUGUUUUGCAACUUGACAGCUCACUCUGAAGAUCCCCGCUGCUAUUUAAUGUUCCAGGCUCCACAAGCAAGAGUUGUACCAUUGCUGGAAUGACAAUAUUUACAAAAGAAAGUAAUUUUAAAAGCGUAUAUUUAAAAAAUGAAAAUUUAAUAUCUUUUCGACUUGUUUGUUAACAAUCAAAAUUGUCUUUAAAGCUUAGUGACAUAAAAAAGAAAAUCACUAUUCUUCCUUUCAAGCCAUCUUUAGAAAACUGCAUGAAGCAAGGAGAAAUGAAGUACAACUUUGCAGGGAAAGAAAUCUGCCUGAAACCAACUAGACAGUGAACCUGCCCAGCAAAUGCACUUUUUUCUGUGGAAAGCUGAUAUUUUCACAUAAUCAUAUGAUUUUGGGAGCCGGAGACUUUGAGAAUGAGACAAAGAAAAUUCUGGUAAAAAUCAUGACAAAUGGCAAGGCAAUGUAGCAAGAUUCCAAAUCUUCCCAGGCUGUUUCCAAGACAGUUUGUUCCCAGAGUUAUGAUAUAGACCACUGGCUAUCAUGCAGGAGUUUGCAUGAGAUUCAGAUGUUUCCCACUGGAAGCAGACAGAACUGGAAUAAGCCUGGUGAAAAUGCACAACAGGUAGUAGAGUAGAUACCUUUAAUCUUCCAAGGCAAAU